UAUUUAUUAAAAUCAUUAAAAAUAGCAUAAAUUUUACUCCUGAGACAAUCCAAAGACCCUUUUGUGAUUCAACUCUGCAAGAAACCCUUUCUUCGAUUCAUCUUGAAAAACCCAUAAACCCUUUCUUCGAUUCAACCUCCUUCAUUCACGAUUUCUCGCCGCUGUUCCUUUCAUGAUUUCACGCAUCUCCUCCGUUCGUGAUCUCUGUUCACGACCACUAUCCUUCACAAACUUCGUCGUUCACCACCGUCUCUGUUCACCGCUCUUCUCCGACGGCAGCAGUGCGAUUCCUUGUGGCCACGACGAUGAAAGUCUUCUUUGUGUGCGUAGGACUAAGGAUCACUUCUCUGGCUUUGUAAAAAACCUUUGUGUAUUGCAUCAAAGAAACAUGCUAAUAAAAUUGGUUGUGAAGGAAGAUGCAAGGUCAGAUUUGGGGCUAGGCUAAGAGACUCUAAAAUUCAUGUAGCUGACUAUGAGUAGGCAAAUCUUCAAUAUAUUUACUUCCAAUGGAUAUUCUGGGUGAAGGAAGAUCUCAAAAAUGGAAGUGCAUCAUGAUCGGUCUGUUUGUUCAUAUAACAUCUUCUAUGGCUUGUUAUGGGGAGAAAGGUUGAGACAACCAAGAAACAGGAUAAGAUUGCUUGCUAAGAAGAUUUUGAUGUUUCUGUUGACUAUUUGUAACUGAAAGAGAUAUUUUAUCAUUUGUAACUUCUUAGAGAUUAGAGAUGGCAGAGAAUCAUUUGUAUCUUUUAUGUUAUAUAUAACAAUUACCUACAUUUUAUGAUA